GUGCAAAUGGGAAUAAGCUACAGCUGUCUUCAGAAAGCUCCUAUUUGCUCAGACGGUAAAGAAUCCACCUGCAAUGUGGGAGACCUGGGUUUGAUCCCCGGAUUGAGAAGAUCCCCUGGAGAACAGCAUGGCAACCGACUCCAGUAUUCUUGCCUGGAGAAUCCUCAUGGACAGAGGAGCCUGGCAGGCUAUAGUCAGUGGGGUCGCAAAGAGUCAGACAUGACUGAGCAAUUCCAGGUGCAAUCCAGCAUGGUGGGAAUCACUUUAGCCGGGACUUAAAGGCCUGCAGGCCAUUUUCCUGAGAGGCUGGAGACAGGGAACUCUUCCACAGAAACUGAGAGAGCCCUAGAGCCAUCAUCGACUCUGGUCCUGGUGGGUGGACUCGUCUGAGCAACUGCCAGCUUGGGCUGCUUUCCCACAGAAGGGCCUCUAUUAUUUUAUGCAGUUCAUCUCCGAGUAUUCCAGCGGGAACUCCCACCACUGCUUUUGAAUUUACAGACUCCUCUGUGGGGAUUUUUCGCCCUGCCAGUCAACUUAAAUCUUCCUUUGUUCAGACUCUUUCCUCGUCCUCUGUUCUUACCCCUUCAGCACGACCACAACCUCAAGAAUGUGAUCUUUGCACAAAACAUUCUAUCAAAUCCAGC
ensembl:lncRNA